AAACAGUAACGAAGUGCUUGAAUUCAAUCGCUUGCGCUCAUUGAAUUUGCAAAAUCUUCCGAAUCUUAGAACCUUUCAAAGUAAAAUGAAGGCGCCACUGAAAAUUGAGGAAUUUCUGUCAUAACAGCAAAAUGAUACUCACUUAUCACUUUUCAGCAGAACGGUUUCUUUCCCCAACUUGGAGCAUCUUCGGUUAUGGUCAGUUAGUUGUGAAAAGAUAUGGCACGACCAACUUUCUGCAACUUCUUCAAAAUUAAAGAGCUUGUUUGUCAAAGAUUGCAACGAGUUGAAGCAUUUAUUUACAGCUUCAAUUGUUAAAAGACUCUUGCAGCUCAAAACACUUCACAUUUAUAAUUGUAGUUCCAUGGAAGAGAUAAUAUUAAUAGAGGAAUUUAUAGAAGAGGAAGAUGAGAGGACGAAUCAGAUACUCUUCCCUAAAUUGGGUAGCCUGGUACUUUUGGAUCUUCCAAAAUUGAUUAGAUUUUGCACUGGAUAUCAAAUUGAGUUUCAAUCUCUUAGAUACUUGAAGAUAAUCGGUUGCAAUGCAUUGAUGUGCUUAGUCCCCAGUGUCCCUCAUACAAGCAUGAUGGAAAAACAAAAUGACACAGAGAUGAAUCAGAAUCAGAAUCAAAAUUUGAAUGCUGAAAUUCAAUCUCUCUUCAAUGGAAUGGUUGGUUUUUCUAAAUUGGAGAUAUUGAGUCUCUCAGAUAUAAAUGAGUUGAAAAGGAUAUGGCACAGCCCACUUGCGGCAAAUUCCUUCUUUAAACUGAAGUCAUUGGAUGUCUUUAAUUGCCACAGAUUGAUGACUAUUUUUCCAUCAAAUGUCUUAGAAAGAUUUUAUAGAAUGGAGGUGUUGCAUGUGAGAAAUUGUGAUUCAUUGCAAGAGAUAUAUCAACUUGAAGGGUUCAAUUUUGAUGAAGCAUUUGAGUUGAGAAUAUUAAAUAUAGCUCGACUGGGAUCAUUGAAGCAUGUAUGGAGGAAGGAUCCACAAGGAGUUUUCAGUUUUCAAAAUUUGAAAUCAGUUAAAGUUUCAGAUUGCAAUGUUCUAAACUAUCUAUUUCCAGGGACACACAUUUUUGAAUGUCAGAAAUUGACAACUUUGGAUGUUCAUAAUUGUCACAAAAUAAUAAAAUUUAGUUCCCAAGAAAUACAGGAAGAGGGCAAACAACCCCUACUUUUUUUGGAAAAGAUGAGUCCCAACUUGGAGGAAUUGACUUUAGAGCACAAGGACUUGAUUGCCAUACAGCAAGGACAAUUCUUUUCUAAACUCAAAAUGCUUACUUUGAUCAACAUACAGAACAAAUCACGCCCUUUUAUAAUUGGUUUUCUUGAAAGGUUAUAUUCUGUGGAAACAAUUUUGGUACAAGGUCGGAAUUCUUUAGAAGAGUUAGAAGAGUUAGAAGAGUUGUUCUCAUAUGAAGGACUUGCCAGAGAAGAAGAAGAACAUCCCAGGACACUUGCACGAGUGAAAAAUUUGAAGCUAGAGCACGUUUUUAAUUUAAAGCAUAUAUGGGACCCAGACUCCGGACUGAAACCACUUCUUCAGUAUCUCGAGACUUUGACUGUAUCUCAGUGUUAUAGUUUGAUCAACAUAGCACCAUCCUCAUCAUCUUUCCAAAAUCUAGCAACUCUUGAAGUGAUUCACUGUGCAGGAUUGGCAAACUUGAUAACAGCUUCCACAGCCAAGUCCAUGGUGCAACUCACCAAAAUGACAGUACGAAGGUGCAAUCUGAUGACAGAAAUAGUGACCAGCGAUGGAGAUGAUCAUACAGAGGAUGAGAUUAUUAAUUUUGACAAACUGAAAUGUUUGGAACUUGAUGAUCUGCCUGGUCUGAUCAGCUUUUGCUCCGGCAAUAAUGCCUUCAAUUUUCCAGCUUUAGAAAAUGUUACAGUCAAGGGAUGCUCCCGGAUGAAGAUUUUCGCUUUCGGAGAUCUAAAGACACCAAAGCUACGAGGAAUACUCCUGGGAGAUCAACAGCAUUGGGAGGGAAACCUUAAUGCAACACUAGCAGCAAUGACAUUUUGCAAAUAUUUUAAAGCAUCUGAAUUUCCUGAGCUCUGGCAUGAUGGGAUGCAAGGGAGACUCUUACGCAAUGUAGAAAGGCUUGAGGUGGAUAAAUGUGCAAUGUAUAUCAAAGCUAUACCAUCCAAUGUACUGGUGUUUUUAAACAAGUUGGAAGAGCUUGAGGUGAAAGACUGUGAUUCAGCAGAUGUAGUAUUUGAUUUGGAAGGGCUAUCUGCUGAUGAUGGGCUACUUCCACGACUAAAGAAAUUGCAAUUAACAAGUCUUCCAAUGUUGAGACAUUUAUGGAACAAGGAUCCCAUAGGAAUUUUGGAGUUCAAGAACCUAAAGUGGCUUCAUGUUGGAAACUGUAGCAGCUUGAAGUAUAUUUUUACCUGGUCGAUGGCAUUGUGCCUCUUGCAACUUGAAAAGGUAGAGCUGAACAAUUGUAAGAUGAUUGAAGGAAUCAUAGAAAAGGAGGAAACAGAGGAAGCAGUUAAUUCAGCCGAUAAGAUGAUAUUGCAUUCAUUGAAAUCUGUAGUCCUUAAAUGUUUGCCUAGAUUUUCCAGAUUGUGUUCAGGAUGGAGUAAUGUGGAAUGUCCAUUGUUGGAGGAGAUGAUCAUACAUGAAUGUCCAAGCUUAAAGAAUAUCUUUGCCACACAGACAAUGGUGAACACAAUUGAUGAGUUUCAUAAGAUGUUUCCAAAUUUGGAAAAGUUUUCGUUAGACAAGAAGUCUACCAUAACCAUACUUGGAUUUCAAUUUCCAACAGGCUUCUUUUCCAAAGUAAAAGUUCUUGAAUUGAGUUUCUUUCUAAACAAAUAUCAUGUUCCUCUUUUUAGUUUACUUCCAAUAUUCCCCAAUCUCGAAAGAUUUGAAGUUCUUGAUUCUUCUCUCAAAGAGCUACUUCCAUUUGAAGGACUGGUUGGUGACCAAGAAGAUAUCUCUACAAUCCCACAUAUAAGAGCUUUAACUCUUAAAAUUCUUCCUGAUUUGAAGCAUAUAUGGAAUCCAGAUGGCCAACUGCAUGACCCAUUAUUUCAGUCUCUUGAGACUCUUAAGAUAAAGUCUUGUGGAAAUUUGAUUGUUUUAGCACCAUCCUCUGUGUCUUUGGGAAAUCUGAAAACUCUCAAAGUAUUUGGAUGCAAGACAUUGGCAAAUAUUUUUACAUCAGCCGCAGCCAAAAGUAUGGUACAACUUGAGACAUUGAAUGUAAGAUUUUGCAAUAUGUUGACCGAAAUAAUAGGAGGUGUUGAAGAGGAUGGAUCAACUGAUGAGAUUGUUUUCAGUAAAAUGAAACUAUUAAAACUUGAAGAUUUACAGAACCUCACAUGCUUCAGCUUGGGCAGUUACACUUUCAAAUUCCCAUCUUUAGAACAAGUGACUGUCCUUAAAUGUCCCAAGUUGAGGAUUUUCACUGUCCGCAAGCUGAGCGCACCAAAGAUACAUGGUGUAUUCGCAGGCCUCAGAUCCAAUCGAACAUUUCAUUGGGAAGGCGAUCUCAAUGCGACCAUUGAACAGAUUUACAUGAAAUAUAUUGGAUUUAAAGAGAUAUAUGAUAUUCAACUCUCCAACUUUCCCAUGCUGAAAGAAAAAUGGCAUGGCCAAUUUCCAUUCGAGAACUUGAGGCACAUAAGGAGACUGGUGGUGGACGAGUGUGCAUUUUUCUCAAAUGCCAUAUCUUCAAAUCUACUAAAGCACUUGUCCUGUUUAUAUAUGUUGGCUGUAGAAAGAUGUGAUUCAGUAGAAGACCUGUUUGAUUUAGAAGGACUAAAUGAUGAUGAAGAUAAUGAUGGGUUAUUGAAGUCUUUAAAAGAAUUGAGGUUAAUUGAUUUGCCUAGAUUGAGGCAUGUGUGGAACAAGGAUCCUCAAGGAAUUUUGAGCUUUAGAAACCUAGCAUUGUUGAAAGUUGAGAAUUGUAGCAGCUUGACUAAUAUAUUUACUCUGUCCAUGGCCUUGGGUCUUGUAAAGCUCAAACAUUUGGAAUUGAAACGAUGUAAUUUGGUGCAACAUAUCAUCACAAAAGAAGUAGAAGAGGAAAUAGCAAAGGAUAAUACCAUAUUUCCAUCAAUGGAGUCCAUGAGUCUAGACUGUUUGCCUAACUUGUCAUGUUUUUAUUCUGCAAGCGAUGUUCUGAAAUGCCCAUCCUUGAAAAGAAUUGAGAUGGUUGGCUGUCCAAACAUGGAGCUAUUAGCUUCUAAAUUUUGCAAAGAACAUGAUCUAAGCAUGAUUGCUGAGGGAAAUGGAGAAAGAAUUGCAGCCUCUUCUGGCGGGAAGGUUUUCAUCCCAAGUUUAGAAGAAUUAAGAGUGGAAUAUAACACCAUAAAGAAUCUAUGUUCUCAAACAUCUCAAGCUGAUUUCUUGUGUGGACUGAAAGGCAUUGAGUUGACAUGUAUUUCUAGUGACUCUACACUUUUGCCAUCUCAGUUCUUUAAAAGUUUACCCAUUCUGGAAAAGCUUGUUCUGAGUGAUGCAAGUGUAAUGGAAUGUGGUAGAUUGCAAGUGUUAGUGGCAUCCUCUGUUUCUUUUCAAAAUUUAACAGCGCUGCAGGUAUCAAAUUGCCAAGGUCUAGUAAAUUUGUUGUCUUCUUCAACAGCGAGAAGUCUUGAACGACUUGAAAAAAUGAAGAUAGAGGAAUGUGAACUGAUACAAGAAGUCAUAGUGGCUAAAGUAGAUAAAGAAGAAGAAGAGAAUGAGAUUUGCUUCAGCCGACUAAAAAGUUUGGAACUUCAACGUCUACCAAGCCUCUCUAGCUUCUGCUCUGGGAAUUUGACCUUCAGUUUCCCAUCUAUGGAAGAAAUGAUCAUUGUAGAAUGCCCUAAUAUGAAGAUUUUUGCUCAAGAAGUAAGCACGCCGCAGCUGUGGAGAGUUCAAACAGGACCACAUAUAUAUAAAUGGGGAUGGAAAGACACCAUAUGUGAUUGGGAGUGGGGAGGCAGCCUUAACAACACCAUUCAAGCACUAUUUAAGGAAAAGAAAGCUGAAGAGACGGGGAUAGGCCGGUGUUCAUAUGGGUGAGCUUGAAUAAGGCCAAAUUUCAUAUUCUAUUUCACCAACUUGCUUGACUGCUAUAUUUCUUCUCAUUCAAGCUCAAGGCGAUGAGAAGUUUCAGAAAGCGUCACCUCAGUAGAUUUUGCCACAAUAAUAUAAUAAGUUUCAAGUUGUAUCAAACACAAAUAGAAAUAAAAUAGAAGUAGUAUGAAUUUAUUUUAAAUUAUUAAAUUUUAUCUUUUUGUACAUGUAUAAAGGUUUUUAGAAU